rnacentral:rRNA from 1 species
GGAAACCCAGUGUGUUUCGACACACUAUCAUUAACUGAAUCCAUAGGUUAAUGAGGCGAACCGGGGGAACUGAAACAUCUAAGUACCCCGAGGAAAAGAAAUCAACCGAGAUUCCCCCAGUAGCGGCGAGCGAACGGGGAGGAGCCCAGAGCCUGAAUCAGUGUGUGUGUUAGUGGAAGCGUCUGGAAAGGCGCGCGAUACAGGGUGACAGCCCCGUACACAAAAAUGCACAUGCUGUGAGCUCGAUGAGUAGGGCGGGACACGUGGUAUCCUGUCUGAAUAUGGGGGGACCAUCCUCCAAGGCUAAAUACUCCUGACUGACCGAUAGUGAACCAGUACCGUGAGGGAAAGGCGAAAAGAACCCCGGCGAGGGGAGUGAAAAAGAACCUGAAACCGUGUACGUACAAGCAGUGGGAGCACGCUUAGGCGUGUGACUGCGUACCUUUUGUAUAAUGGGUCAGCGACUUAUAUUCUGUAGCAAGGUUAACCGAAUAGGGGAGCCGAAGGGAAACCGAGUCUUAACUGGGCGUUAAGUUGCAGGGUAUAGACCCGAAACCCGGUGAUCUAGCCAUGGGCAGGUUGAAGGUUGGGUAACACUAACUGGAGGACCGAACCGACUAAUGUUGAAAAAUUAGCGGAUGACUUGUGGCUGGGGGUGAAAGGCCAAUCAAACCGGGAGAUAGCUGGUUCUCCCCGAAAGCUAUUUAGGUAGCGCCUCGUGAAUUCAUCUCCGGGGGUAGAGCACUGUUUCGGCAAGGGGGUCAUCCCGACUUACCAACCCGAUGCAAACUGCGAAUACCGGAGAAUGUUAUCACGGGAGACACACGGCGGGUGCUAACGUCCGUCGUGAAGAGGGAAACAACCCAGACCGCCAGCUAAGGUCCCAAAGUCAUGGUUAAGUGGGAAACGAUGUGGGAAGGCCCAGACAGCCAGGAUGUUGGCUUAGAAGCAGCCAUCAUUUAAAGAAAGCGUAAUAGCUCACUGGUCGAGUCGGCCUGCGCGGAAGAUGUAACGGGGCUAAACCAUGCAC